GAUGAACGCUGGCGGCGUGCCUAAUACAUGCAAGUCGAGCGAACAGACGAGGAGCUUGCUCCUCUGACGUUAGCGGCGGACGGGCGAGUAACACGUGGAUAACCUACCUAUAAGACUGGGAUAACUUCGGGAAACCGGAGCUAAUACCGGAUAAUAUAUUGAACCGCAUGGUUCAAUAGUGAAAGACGGUUUUGCUGUCACUUAUAGAUGGAUCCGCGCCGCAUUAGCUAGUUGGUAAGGUAACGGCUUACCAAGGCAACGAUGCGUAGCCGACCUGAGAGGGUGAUCGGCCACACUGGAACUGAGACACGGUCCAGACUCCUACGGGAGGCAGCAGUAGGGAAUCUUCCGCAAUGGGCGAAAGCCUGACGGAGCAACGCCGCGUGAGUGAUGAAGGUCUUCGGAUCGUAAAACUCUGUUAUUAGGGAAGAACAAAUGUGUAAGUAACUAUGCACGUCUUGACGGUACCUAAUCAGAAAGCCGCGGCUAACUACGUG
rnacentral:rRNA from 1 species